rnacentral:rRNA from 1 species
AGCGAACGCUGGCGGCAGGCCUAACACAUGCAAGUCGAACGAACUCUUCGGAGUUAGUGGCGGACGGGUGAGUAACACGUGGGAACGUGCCUUUAGGUUCGGAAUAACUCAGGGAAACUUGUGCUAAUACCGAAUGUGCCCUUCGGGGGAAAGAUUUAUCGCCUUUAGAGCGGCCCGCGUCUGAUUAGCUAGUUGGUGAGGUAAAGGCUCACCAAGGCGACGAUCAGUAGCUGGUCUGAGAGGAUGAUCAACCACAUUGGGACUGAGACACGGCCCAAACUCCUACGGGAGGCAGCAGUGGGGAAUCUUGCGCAAUGGGCGAAAGCCUGACGCAGCCAUGCCGCGUGAAUGAUGAAGGUCUUAGGAUUGUAAAAUUCUUUCACCGGGGACGAUAAUGACGGUACCCGGAGAAGAAGCCCCGGCUAACUUCGUG